rnacentral:lncRNA from 7 species
GACGUAGAUCCACGGGUGCACCAUCGUCAUGGCCGAGGCUUCACCAAGUCUCGUAGGUCAUGAUCGCGACUUUGUCUGGACGGAUUACGUUCCGGUUAGCCCAGAAUUGCUCGCCGGAGUCAAUCCUCUACCGCGGUACCCCGCACCGCUAUGAGCAGUUGUACUACUUCGCGAACUUCCGGAGAAGAACAGGUGGUCCAGGAGGAGCCGUACAACGAGGAGUACGAUUUGAUCCAGGUGGCGUCUCCCAGUCAACUUUAUGACGCCAUGGAUGGACAUUAGUUCGUUUUAUAUUUAUCAUUUAUUUUUGUAAGACUUUCGCUAUGUAAUAAUUAUUUUUAUGAUAUUGUGACAUUUAUCUCUAUACACUCUGUUAU